AACGAACGCUGGCGGCAUGCCUAACACAUGCAAGUCGAACGAGACCUUCGGGUCUAGUGGCGCACGGGGGCGUAACGCGUGGGAACCUGCCCUUAGGUUCGGAAUAACUCCCCGAAAGGGGUGCUAAUACAGGAUAAUGUCUUCGGACCAAAGAUUUAUCGCCUUUGGAUGGGCCCGCGUAGGAUUAGCUAGUUGGUAGGGUAAAAGCCUACCAAGGCGACGAUCCAUAGCUGGUCUGAGAGGAUGAUCAGCCACACUGGGACUGAGACACGGCCCAGACUCCUACGGGAGGCAGCAGUGGGGAAUAUUGGACAAUGGGCGAAAGCCUGAUCCAGCAAUGCCGCGUGAGUGAUGAAGGCCUUAGGGUUGUAAAGCUCUUUUACCCGGGAUGAUAAUGACAGUACCGGGAGAAUAAGCUCCGGCUAACUCCGUG
rnacentral:rRNA from 1 species